rnacentral:lncRNA from 1 species
UUUCUCUCUCUUUAUAAUCUCUCACCUUUCUCUCUCUUCAACACACACAUACCUAAUCAUCUCUCUCUCUUGAACCUUUCUCACCGGCAACAAGAAUCAGCCGGACUCCGGCCGACCUCCGGCGAGCAGGCGACGGCUGGCUACGGGCCACGGUGGUCCGGCGACGUCGGAGAUAGGGCGGCAUCGCACCUGCAAACCACACCCACAGCCCCUCUCCGUCGCACACCCCUGAUUUCACCUCCUUCUUCACUCACACACCUGUAUGCGUAGGAUAAUCACAAAAAUGGAGUGAGAGAGAGAGGAUUUGAAAAGAUUGAAGGUGAUGUUUGUCUUCAUUUACUCUGUUCUUUUUUUCAUCUUUUUUCAUUAGAAUCACACAUCUGUAAGAUUCAUUGGCACAUGGUGAAAAUGCUCUUGCCACAAUUUGAAUCUUUUUCAUUAUUAAACGAUCCCCAUCUCAAUUUCUUCAAUUUUCACUCAUGGAUAUUUGGGUUUUGGAGCUUAGUGCAACUGGGUUCCUGUAGGAUAUGAGUUUCUGAAUGUUGAAAUUGGUUUUGAGCCGGUGGUGCACCGUGGUGCCCGCGCGGCGGUGCCGGUGGUGCCCCGUGGCGCCCGCGCGGCGGUGCCGGUGGUGCCCCGAGGCGCCGGUGAUCGAUUGAAGUGUGGUUUUGGAUUUUUGUGGCGGUGAUGAUGCAAAAAAAAACGCAUAUUUUGAUGACGAUGGCGCGGCAAUGAUGGUGGAGGGUAGGUUUUUGAACCUGCAACCCCACUUUGCAGCCUUUUUGAUUAUCGGAAAAUCUGAGCCAAACCCCGUUUUUUUUUCGAGAUACGCUUUGUUUUGAUGUUGUUGGCUUUUUAUAUUUUUUCCCUAGUCGAUGACGAUAACAAUCUAUCUGAGACACCUACCGAGUUUUCGUUUUCUGGGUGUGUUCGUGUUGCGUAAAAAAGCUUUUGUAAAAAAAAUGUUAAACCGUAAACUUUUUAACCUAAAACGUAAAAACGUAAAACGUAAAAAGUUUUACGUAAACCGUAAAAUUUUUUCGUAAAACGUAAAAAGUUUUAGGUAAAAUGUAAAACGUAAAUUUUUUUUAGUAAAACGUAAAAACUUUUACGUAAAACGUAAAAACCGGCGCGUAAAACGUAAAAAACCGGCGCGUUAAACGUAAAAACGUAAAAAACGUUAACGUAAAAAAACCGGCGCGUAAAACGUAAAAAACCGGCGCGUUAAACGUAAAAACAUAAAAAACGUUAACGUAAAAAACCGGCGCGUAAAACGUAAACAAACGUUGACGUAAAAAACCGGGACGUAAAUCGCAAAAAACCGGCGUGUAAAACGUAAAUAACGUUAACGUAAAAAACCGGCGCGUAAAACGUAAAAAAAAGUUAACGUAAAAAACCGGCGCGUAAAACGCAAAAAAACGUUGACGUAAAAACCGGGACGUAAAACGCAAAAAACCGGCGCGUAAAACGUAAAUAACGUUAACGUAAAAACCGGGACGUAAAACGCAAAAAACCAGCGCGUAAAACGUAAAUAACGUUAACGUAAAAAACCGGGGCGUAAAACGUAAAAACGGCGCGUUGAAAAAACGACGCGUGAAAAAGCCGGGCGAAAAAACGGCGCGUCCAAAAACGAGGCGUGAAAAGGCCGGGCGUAAAAAUCUUAAAAAUUAAAAAAAUUAUAAUAAAAAUUUGAUUUCAAAAAAUUGUU